UGCCAGCAGCCGCGGUAAUACGGAGGGUGCAAGCGUUACUCGGAAUCACUGGGCGUAAAGAGUGCGUAGGCGGGAAAGUAAGUCAGAUGUGAAAUCCUGUAGCUUAACUACAGAACUGCAUUUGAAACUACUUUUCUAGAGUGUGGGAGAGGUAGGUGGAAUUCUUGGUGUAGGGGUAAAAUCCGUAGAGAUCAAGAGGAAUACUCAUUGCGAAGGCGACCUGCUGGAACAUUACUGACGCUGAUGCACGAAAGCGUGGGGAGCAAACAGGAUUAGAUA
rnacentral:rRNA from 1 species